rnacentral:rRNA from 1 species
UACAGAGGGGGCAAGCGUUGUUCGGAAUUACUGGGCGUAAAGGGCGCGUAGGCGGCCUUCUAAGUCGAACGUGAAAUCCCCGGGCUCAACCCGGGAACUGCGUCCGAUACUGGAAGGCUUGAAUCCGGGAGAGGGAUGCGGAAUUCCAGGUGUAGCGGUGAAAUGCGUAGAUAUCUGGAGGAACACCGGUGGCGAAGGCGGCAUUCUGGACCGACAUUGACGCUGAGGAGCGAAAGCCAGGGGAGCAAACGGG